rnacentral:tRNA from 1 species
GCCACCGUAGCUCAGUUGGCAGAGCAGCGGUUUUGUAAACCGCAGGCCGUGGGUUCGAGUCCCACCGGUGGCU